rnacentral:rRNA from 4 species
ACGACUCUCGGCAACGGAUAUCUCGGCUCUCGCAUCGAUGAAGAACGCAGCGAAAUGCGAUACUUGGUGUGAAUUGCAGAAUCCCGUGAACCAUCGAGUUUUUGAACGCAAGUUGCGCCCAAAGCCUUCUGGCCGAGGGCACGUCUGCCUGGGUGUCACGCAACA